AAGUCGUUCAAGGAAGGUGUUGAAUUAGAAGAAUCUCGUUAUGAACAUUCUGCUGUAAAGCCUCCUAAGCAGGAACUCGCAGCCACCCAGGUGUUUGCCCACCCCCAUCCCCACCGCGUACCUCCUCCUCCUGGUGAAAAGUCACACUGAUGACAAACUCUACGUGCUGCCUGAUGGGCUUUGACCCUGGGAUAUCCUCCCCUCCCGCGGUCUUCAGGAGAGGAAAAAAGGGCCAAAUGGAGAACUGAGGGAAUUCUCUAAAUAGUUGAAAGACACAUCCAAACGGACUUUGCCCUACUCAUCUGUCGUGGUAGCCUCCCAUACACGCUGCUGGGACAGUUGUCGACGGCCCACUUCGUCUUCCAGCGGGAACCCGGCCCGCUGGAAUGUGGAAACCCUACAAUCAGAAAACAAACAAGUUGCUAAAAGCUGCGUGUGAAGUUGCUAAAAGCUUCGUUCAUCCUACCACACAGCUGGUUGUAUGCACAGCUUAAGAACCAAAUGCCAAGGUGCAGGGGAC
rnacentral:lncRNA from 1 species